rnacentral:tRNA from 1 species
GGGGGUAUAGCUCAGUUGGGAGAGUGUCUGACUGGCAGUCAGAAGGUCACGGGUUCGAGCCCCGUUAUCUCCACCA